CAGAAUAUUUAUCCGCUACUUUGAGUUUCACAUUUAGCUUAAAUGUUUAGCUAGUUAAUCAUCUUCUGGCUUAUUACUUUAACCAGCUAUCAACUAGCUCACUUUAUCCAAAUAUUUGAGCUAAAAAUUGUUUCAAUCCUUCACUUCUUUUGUGCCAUGGCAAUCCUUUUUAUUAACAGUUUGAACAUUCAUUUUGGCUAAUAGGUACACAGCUACAGGGCCAGUCUGACGUGUAAAUGACGAGUUUUGACCCCUCAGCCAAUAAAGGACUGAUGAUCGUCAUCACCUCGCAGGUUUGCGACGUGGACAUUUAAGUUUGUGACAACUCAGCCGGUAUUUUUAUGUCAUUUCAUUUGGACUUAGCAUCCGUUAGUUUCCAGAGUAGAUUUUCUUGUUUCACUUUAGUUUUAGUUUGUUUUUUAAUAAUUUCAAUGUUUGAGUCUUUUUCAUUAUUAUGAUGUAUGAAGGGGAUCUAUAAACCUCUUGUAAUAUUCUGACCGCCAGCGUAUCUGAAGUCCGGAAAGGAGAGGGCCGCUCUCCGCCUGUGCUACUAACAACUGAGGCACUGAAAGGAGAGAGGCUGGGAAAUGGCCCGAGGGUUCAGGCCUGUUUCUCUGCAGUUAGAAGCUGCAAACAUUUCACACUGCAAAUGACUGCAACAGCGAGGUACAGCACAGUGCAACGAAAUCAUGGGAAAAGCUAAUAUUUCUCACAUCCGGCAGAAAAAGCUGUCUUCUUUACUGUUUUAAACAAUAUCUGUGUGGAUUCAUGAUUGUAAUUACUCUCAUAUGUAUUUCUCAGAAGCCUGUGCUCUUCAUUUCAGUCUGCAGGUUUGCAAGUCCAAGAUUAAAUCAAAUGAAGGAUGAACAGUAUGUGAAAGUCACGUCCUUGAGAACUGGAUAAACAGGACAUCGGGAACGGCAUCAAUGGAAGGGUAACUGUCAAGAAGCAUUUUAUAAGGAAGGAGAAGGCUGAGGUAUGCCAAGUUACACAGGAACUGAGCUGAGAAUCAGUGGCAACAGGUCUGAUGGAGCGAUGGAUCCAAGUUUACAUCUUUUUGGCUGAAAUCAUCAUCAAUGGGAGAAUUCAAAGGAGGCAUUUGGAGGCUGCGUCAGGAUUUGGGGCAGCAGUGGUGUCGGGACCAGAUCCAGUUUUCAUUUUUCAUCUUGACAGAGAAAAGCAGAAAAAGCAGCCGAGAUCCAAAGAAGAGGCUUCAAGAACCCCAGAGAACCGUUCCUGAAGACUGAAAGUACAAGAACACUUCGAGAGCGUUCAGGCGGUUUUCAAAAAUAAAGACGCGCAGACCAAAUAUUGACUUUCCAGCUGUUCCAUGCCUGUUUGCACAGUUCAAUAAACUGCUGCACCCAUUUCCCAUUCU